GACGAACGCUGGCGGCGUGCUUAACACAUGCAAGUCGAGCGAUGAAGUUCCCUUCGGGGAACGGAUUAGCGGCGGACGGGUGAGUAACACGUGGGUAACCUGCCUCAAAGAGGGGGAUAGCCUCCCGAAAGGGAGAUUAAUACCGCAUAAUAUCUUUUUAAUGCAUGUUAGAAAGAUUAAAGGAGCAAUCCGCUUUGAGAUGGACCCGCGGCGCAUUAGCUAGUUGGUGAGGUAACGGCUCACCAAGGCGACGAUGCGUAGCCGACCUGAGAGGGUGAUCGGCCACAUUGGGACUGAGACACGGCCCAGACUCCUACGGGAGGCAGCAGUGGGGAAUAUUGCGCAAUGGGGGAAACCCUGACGCAGCAACGCCGCGUGAGUGAUGAAGGUCUUCGGAUCGUAAAGCUCUGUCUUCAGGGACGAUAAUGACGGUACCUGAGGAGGAAGCCACGGCUAACUACGU
rnacentral:rRNA from 1 species